GUUAUAUGGUCAAGUGAAGAAGCGCAUACGGUGGAUGCCUUGGCAGUCAGAGGCGAUGAAAGACGUGGUAGCCUGCGAUAAGCUUUGGGGAGUCGGCAAACAGACUGUGAUCCAGAGAUCUCUGAAUGGGGGAACCCACUCAGCACAAGCUGAGUAUCUUGUACUGAAUACAUAGGUGCAAGAGGCGAACCAGGGGAACUGAAACAUCUAAGUACCCUGAGGAAAAGAAAUCAACCGAGAUUCCCUUAGUAGUGGCGAGCGAACGGGGACCAGCCCUUAAGUUGAUUUGAGAUUAGUGGAACGCUCUGGAAAGUGCGGCCAUAGUGGGUGAUAGCCCCGUACACGAAAAUCUCUUGUCAAUGAAAUCGAGUAGGACGGAGCACGAGAAACUUUGUCUGAAUAUGGGGGGACCAUCCUCCAAGGCUAAAUACUACUGACUGACCGAUAGUGAACCAGUACCGUGAGGGAAAGGCGAAAAGAACCCCGGAGAGGGGAGUGAAAUAGAACCUGAAACCGUAUGCGUACAAGCAGUGGGAGCCUACUUUGUUAGGUGACUGCGUACCUUUUGUAUAAUGGGUCAGCGACUUAUAUUCAGUGGCGAGCUUAACCGAAUAGGGGAGGCGUAGCGAAAGCGAGUCUUAAUAGGGCGUUUAGUCGCUGGGUAUAGACCCGAAACCGGGCGAUCUAUCCAUGGGCAGGUUGAAGGUUAGGUAACACUGACUGGAGGACCGAACCGACUACCGUUGAAAAGUUAGCGGAUGACCUGUGGAUCGGAGUGAAAGGCUAAUCAAGCUCGGAGAUAGCUGGUUCUCCUCGAAAGCUAUUUAGGUAGCGCCUCAUGUAUCACUCCAGGGGGUAGAGCACUGUUUCGGCUAGGGGGUCAUCCCGACUUACCAAACCGAUGCAAACUCCGAAUACCUGGAAGUGCCGAGCAUGGGAGACACACGGCGGGUGCUAACGUCCGUCGUGAAAAGGGAAACAACCCAGACCGUCAGCUAAGGUCCCAAAGUCAUGGUUAAGUGGGAAACGAUGUGGGAAGGCUUAGACAGCUAGGAGGUUGGCUUAGAAGCAGCCACCCUUUAAAGAAAGCGUAAUAGCUCACUAGUCGAGUCGGCCUGCGCGGAAGAUGUAACGGGGCUCAAACCAUGCACCGAAGCUACGGGUGUCAUCUUUGAUGACGCGGUAGAGGAGCGUUCUGUAAGCCUGUGAAGGUGAGUUGAGAAGCUUGCUGGAGGUAUCAGAAGUGCGAAUGCUGACAUGAGUAACGACAAUGCGAGUGAAAAACUCGCACGCCGAAAGACCAAGGUUUCCUGCGCAACGUUAAUCGACGCAGGGUUAGUCGGUCCCUAAGGCGAGGCUGAAAAGCGUAGUCGAUGGAAAACAGGUUAAUAUUCCUGUACUUCCAGUUAUUGCGAUGGAGGGACGGAGAAGGUUAGGCCAGCCUGGCGUUGGUUGUCCAGGUUUAAGGUGGUAGGCUGAAAUCUUAGGCAAAUCCGGGAUUUCAAGGCCGAGAGCUGAUGACGAGUUGCCUUCAGGCGACGAAGUGGUUGAUACCAUGCUUCCAAGAAAAGCUCCUAAGCUUCAGAUAACUGGGAACCGUACCCCAAACCGACACAGGUGGUUAGGUAGAGAAUACCAAGGCGCUUGAGAGAACUCGGGUGAAGGAACUAGGCAAAAUGGCACCGUAACUUCGGGAGAAGGUGCGCCGGCGAGGGUGAAGGACUUGCUCCGUAAGCCCAUGCCGGUCGAAGAUACCAGGCCGCUGCGACUGUUUAUUAAAAACACAGCACUCUGCAAACACGAAAGUGGACGUAUAGGGUGUGACGCCUGCCCGGUGCCGGAAGGUUAAUUGAUGGGGUUAGCGCAAGCGAAGCUCUUGAUCGAAGCCCCGGUAAACGGCGGCCGUAACUAUAACGGUCCUAAGGUAGCGAAAUUCCUUGUCGGGUAAGUUCCGACCUGCACGAAUGGCGUAACGAUGGCGGCGCUGUCUCCACCCGAGACUCAGUGAAAUUGAAAUCGCUGUGAAGAUGCAGUGUAUCCGCGGCUAGACGGAAAGACCCCGUGAACCUUUACUAUAGCUUUGCACUGGACUUUGAAUUUGCUUGUGUAGGAUAGGUGGGAGGCUUUGAAGUGGGGACGCCAGUUCUCAUGGAGCCAUCCUUGAAAUACCACCCUGGCAACUUUGAGGUUCUAACUCAGGUCCGUUAUCCGGAUCGAGGACAGUGUAUGGUGGGUAGUUUGACUGGGGCGGUCUCCUCCCAAAGAGUAACGGAGGAGUACGAAGGUGCGCUCAGACCGGUCGGAAAUCGGUCGUAGAGUAUAAAGGCAAAAGCGCGCUUGACUGCGAGACAAACACGUCGAGCAGGUACGAAAGUAGGUCUUAGUGA
rnacentral:rRNA from 1 species